UCUGUUUUGUUUAAGGUAACAUUUUAAGUGGUUGGUUGGGAAGGGAUGCCUCUAUUCGUGGAAUAUGGAUGAUGGAAUCACAAAAGCAGUCACAUCACUAAAGAACAAGAGAGAAAAGCAAAGCAAAGGAUUCCAGUUCAGGCAUCGAUACCAAAAUGAACACCACCACAAUAAGUUUUAAUUAAGUCCAGGACACAAAUUGGAAUUUCAAGCUAUUAAAAACAGGGACAUCAGCAGCUGUUGAAGGCACACACGUGAAGUAAAUAAAACAUGUUUUUAAAUUA